CGACGCUGGCGGCGUGCCUAAUACAUGCAAGUCGAGCGCAGGAAGCCGUCUGAACCCUUCGGGGGGGACGACGGUGGAAUGAGCGGCGGACGGGUGAGUAACACGUAAAGAACCUGCCCAUAGGUCUGGGAUAACCACGAGAAAUCGGGGCUAAUACCGGAUGUGUCAUCGGACCGCAUGGUCCGCUGAUGAAAGGCGCUCCGGCGUCGCCCAUGGAUGGCUUUGCGGUGCAUUAGCUAGUUGGUGGGGUAACGGCCCACCAAGGCGACGAUGCAUAGCCGACCUGAGAGGGUGAUCGGCCACACUGGGACUGAGACACGGCCCAGACUCCUACGGGAGGCAGCAGUAGGGAAUCUUCCACAAUGGACGAAAGUCUGAUGGAGCAACGCCGCGUGAACGAUUAAGGCUUUCGGGUCNUAAAGUUCUGUUGUAAGGGAAGAAC
rnacentral:rRNA from 1 species